ACAGCCAGCGCUGAGGUCUGCAUAGGAACGCCUGAGGUCCUGCCUCCACCGUGCUGCGCCGAGCCAACGACUUUUCUUCCACCCUCCUCUGCUCGCUGCUCUGCUCUUGCGAAUGCGUCAUGGCCGGAGCCACCGUCACGCCGGAACGCCGUCGUAAGACCAGGCAACAGAGCACCUCGCCCUGCCACUUCCCCAUGCCGCAGCAACGCCACCACUCGCACUGCAUCACCGACGAACUCACGCCGCACACCCCCGCACAACGCUGCUGCCGCGCCCACGCUGGUUCGCCUCGGCAUCAAGGCCGGGACGCUGCCACCCAGCUGCAGGCCGCCCAAGUCGCAUUCGCUCAGCUCCACCGGAGCCACGCUGCGGCCGCACGCUGACAAGCUGAGGAGCACCGUGCUCGACCCGCUCGCCGCCGCCGCACAGCACCGCCUUGCCAUCCUGCUCUGCUGAAGCCGCUGCCGGGAGCAACCACGACGUCAACGGCCACGAGCACGAGGAAGCCGAGCCUGUCCUUGCAGCACACUAACACACCGCAGCCACAGGCGCAGGUCCGCCACGACCAAGCACGGAACACGUCCUGACCCGGGCCAAACAGGCACACCCGUUCCAUCGUCGCCGAUGUCGCGACGCGAGCUAGCUGUAGCUAGUCACCGCGAACGCGAACACACGAUUGGCCUUGCCAAGCCUACUUAUGGUACCACGGCCGCUCUGCCCCGCGCUUUCGCCGCGGGCGGGCACGUCACGAACCGACCAUGCCGGGCACCAUGCGCAUGCAUGCCGCCGGAGGCCGUCGCGCUAGCCACCGUCCUCGCAUACCCCGGGCACGAGCCAAGUCGCCGCGAACCAGUUGUCGCUGGACACCGCGAGCGCAAGCCUGCACAACCAAAUAAUCUAAAGAUACAAUCUAUCCAACCGUGCACGUGGCACGCUUUUGUUCGAUAGAACAUUCGCCGAGCCGUUCGCCGGACGAAACGUUACCGACUCGAUUGCCACGCGCCAACCUCCUGCUCAGGGUGCCCCUCGCGGUGCCAUUCCCUUUCGCUGAGUAUACGACACGUGCGAACCGCACUCAGUUGCGCCACAGUACCCCCUUGGCGCCCUGCCGCAUCCGUCGCAUCGCCGCAGACCGCCGCGCAUCACGCUGCCGGCCACCAGCACGCCGCUCCACACCAACAGCUCCACGCACGCGUAGCCACAGCACCAUCAAAGACCAGCGCCCUCGCCGGCUUUUGCCCGGCCUCGUCGCAAACGCCGUCAGACACAGCGCUGCGCUCAGCCCCACAUGCCCGACCGCUCCUCCACCUCCGGCCUAUAAAAGGCGACGCUGAGCUCUCCUUUCCAGCCAGCACAGCUACCUCAUUCCCUCGGUUUCAUCAGAGCAAGGAUUUGCUCGUCACUCUCUUAUUCUGACAAGCUGUUCAUCGUGCUCUUGUAGCCGAGAGUUCGCGAACAACGACGAGAGGAAGCCUGGAGUCCGGUGCCGCGGGCUAGGAAGUUUGUACCGCAAGCAGAAGCCAGAGUACGUACCGCAACGACGAGGACUGGUACCGCGAGCCUGAAAUCGAAACGCGUACCGCGAGUUGAAAUACCCGUUUGUUGAGCGAAGGCAAGUUCAACCCCAUCCUUUGAUGCAUGUUUCUGUCCUAGUUUUUAUAAACACAACCCAAUGGCCUGUUUUAUAAAAUUGCAUAUGUUUUGCUUGCAUGAAAA